UGACACUUCUGGAGAAGAGUAGGGGGC
rnacentral:piRNA from 1 species